rnacentral:rRNA from 1 species
CAGCAGCCGCGGUAAUACGUAGGGUGCAAGCGUUAAUCGGAAUUACUGGGCGUAAAGCGUACACAGGCGGUUAUAUAAGUCAGAUGUGAAAUCCCCGGGCUCAACCUGGGAACUGCAUUUGAGACUGUAUGGCUAGAGUGUGUCAGAGGGGGGUAGAAUUCCACGUGUAGCAGUGAAAUGCGUAGAUAUGUGGAGGAAUACCGAUGGCGAAGGCAGCCCCCUGGGCCAAUACUGACGCUCAUGCACGAAAGCGUGGGGAGCAAACAGGAUUAGAUACCCGCGUAGUCCCUGUCUCUUAUAC